rnacentral:rRNA from 1 species
CGACGAUCCCUAGCUGGUCUGAGAGGAUGACCAGCCACACUGGAACUGAGACACGGUCCAGACUCCUACGGGAGGCAGCAGUGGGGAAUAUUGCACAAUGGGCGCAAGCCUGAUGCAGCCAUGCCGCGUGUGUGAAGAAGGCCUUCGGGUUGUAAAGCACUUUCAGCGAGGAGGAAGGUGGUGAACUUAAUACGUUCAUCAAUUGACGUUACUCGCAGAAGAAGCACCGGCUAACUCCGUGCCAGCAGCCGCGGUAAUACGGAGGGUGCAAGCGUUAAUCGGAAUUACUGGGCGUAAAGCGCACGCAGGCGGUUUGUUAAGUCAGAUGUGAAAUCCCCGGGCUCAACCUGGGAACUGCAUUUGAAACUGGCAAGCUAGAGUCUCGUAGAGGGGGGUAGAAUUCCAGGUGUAGCGGUGAAAUGCGUAGAGAUCUGGAGGAAUACCGGUGGCGAAGGCGGCCCCCUGGACGAAGACUGACGCUCA